CAUGAAUCACCACAGUCUUUGUUGUGUUUCUUUCCCACGACUAACCUAUGUAUUUAGCUUUAUUUAGAUGCUGCUAAUUUGGACAAUCUCUCUGCUACUGGGCACAGUGGCAGGAGAUGAAGUUUGCUAUCCAAGAGUUGGAUGUUUUACAGAUGAUAUACCAUGAGCUGGCAUUGUGGAAAGACCCUUUAAAGUGCUCCCCUGGUCUCCACAAGACAUCAACACACGUUUUCUUCUGUAUACCAAUGAAUCCCAAACACUUAUCAAGAAAUUCUUCCAGACAAUUUGGCAACUGUCAAAAGCUCUAAUUCCAACAAGAAGAGAAAAACUCAAUUUGUUGUUCAUGGCUUCAUUGACAAUGGUGAAGAAGAAUGGUUGACAAGCAUAUCCAAG